UACGGAGGGUGCAAGCGUUAUCCGGAUUCACUGGGUUUAAAGGGUGCGUAGGCGGAUAAGUAAGUCAGUGGUGAAAUCUCCGAGCUUAACUCGGAAACUGCCGUUGAUACUAUUUAUCUUGAAUAUCAUGGAGGUAAGCGGAAUAUGUCAUGUAGCGGUGAAAUGCUUAGAUAUGACAUAGAACACCGAUAGCGAAGGCAGCUUACUACAUGUUAAUUGACGCUGAGGCACGAAAGCGUGGGGAGCAAACAGG
rnacentral:rRNA from 1 species